rnacentral:lncRNA from 1 species
UACAUGCAUGUAGCAAUUUUUUCUAAGUAGAUAAUGCUACCCGAACAUGCACUCAAUAAAAAGAUAAUGCUAGUCAUCUUAUAUAUAUCAUCAAAAUUUUGCCUGCACCAAAUUUGUACAAAAACAAAAGACAAAAACACCUUAAUGUGAGAUAUGAUUUUCUAAUCCGGCGGCAGCGCCACUCCCUUGAUAAAUCAUGAGCUUGUGCUCUAGAUUUACAUGCUUGAUCAUUCUCUUCCCCGUCAGCCUCCGCCUCCGAUCCCCAGCCUUGUUGCCCUCCUCCCCUGACCUCCUUGGGCUGCGCCUCUCCCACCUCCUUAUCUGGUAAGUUAUCAUAGUAAUUAGGAAACUAUGGCAUCAUCACACUUAUCAAUGGUAUUAUAGGUCUAUCAAUUCAAAAUAAGUGAAAACAGUGGGUGUUAUCCCAGUUUGCGAAAUAGAUGAAGUUUUACCUUGGCGCUAAAGCUGCUGGAGAACUACAUCGCAAGCAGCCUAGAGGACGAAGUUUCCUUUACUUCCCUUUGAUACUCAUUUGCUCAGCCCCAUGCUUAUCAAUGGUGGCUGCAGAAACUGGAACCAAGGAGCAAGCUAUGCUUUUGCGUCUUUUUCUUGACCCUCCUAAAAAAUCAUUAAACAGUUAGGCAAUUAAUUCAGAAGGGUAAAUGUGAAAAAUUGUAUGUGAUUUUCCUCUCCUUGGAGUGAAUAUCCUAUUUAAAGUCGAAGCAAAGGAGAGCCAAUAUGCUAACAGUUCAUAGCACAAGUUUAACAUAUGUGACCAAAAAAAUGUUGUUGCUGCAUUUUUGCAAAACAUGCCUACCAUGAGAUGAAUAUUAG